rnacentral:rRNA from 1 species
UACGUAGGGUGCAAGCGUUUAAUCGGAAUUACUGGGCGUAAAGCGUGCGCAGGCGGUUUGGUAAGACAGAUGUGAAAUCCCCGGGCUUAACCUGGGAAUUGCAUUUGUGACUGCCCGGCUAGAGUUUGGCAGAGGGGGGUAGAAUUCCACGUGUAGCAGUGAAAUGCGUAGAUAUGUGGAGGAAUACCGAUGGCGAAGGCAGCCCCCUGGGUCAAGACUGACGCUCAUGCACGAAAGCGUGGGGAGCAAACAGG